rnacentral:rRNA from 1 species
UACGUAGGGUGCAAGCGUUUGUCCGGAAUUAUUGGGCGUAAAGAGCUCGUAGGUGGCCUGUCGCGUCGGCUGUGAAAACUCGGGGCUCAACUCCGAGCUUGCAGUCGAUACGGGCAGGCUAGAGUUCGGCAGGGGAGACUGGAAUUCCUGGUGUAGCGGUGAAAUGCGCAGAUAUCAGGAGGAACACCGGUGGCGAAGGCGGAUCUCUGGGCCAUUACUGACGCUGAGGAGCGAAAGCGUGGGGAGCGAACAGG